rnacentral:rRNA from 1 species
UACGUAGGUGACCAGCGUUGUCCGGAUUUACUGGGCGUAAAGAGCGCGCAGGCGGUCGUUCAAGUCGAGUGUGAAAGCCCCCGGCUCAACUGGGGAGGGUCAUUCGAUACUGAUCGACUCGAAGGCAGGAGAGGGAAGUGGAAUUCCCGGUGUAGUGGUGAAAUGCGUAGAUAUCGGGAGGAACACCAGUGGCGAAGGCGACUACCUGGCCUGUUUCUUGACGCUGAGGCGCGAAAGCUAGGGGAGCAAACGGG